rnacentral:rRNA from 1 species
CCUACGAGCGGCAGCAGUGGGGAAUAUUGGGCAAUGGGCGCAAGCCUGACCCAGCAACGCCGCGUGAAGGAAGAAGGCUUUCGGGUUGUAAACUUCUUUUGUCAGGGACGAAGCAAGUGACGGUACCUGACGAAUAAGCCACGGCUAACUACGUGCCAGCAGCCGCGGUACUACGUAGGUGGCAAGCGUUAUCCGGAUUUACUGGGUGUAAAGGGCGUGUAGGCGGGGAAGCAAGUCAGAUGUGAAAACCACGGGCUGAACCUGUGGCCUGCAUUUGAAACUGUUUUUCUUGAGUACUGGAGAGGCAGACGGAAUUCCUAGUGUAGAGGUGAAAUGCGUAGAUAUUAGGAGGAACACCAGUGGCGAAGGCGGUCUGCUGGACAGCAACUGACGCUGAGGCGCGAAAGCGUGGGGAGCAAACAGGAGUAGAUACCCGGGUAGUC